rnacentral:lncRNA from 1 species
UGAAGUGGAUGAGAGAGAUAGAAUGAGAUUGAGAAGAGAAUGGAUAUCAUGAAUCAUGGAAUGGAUGGGAGAUACUUGACGUUAGAUCAAGUACUCGUGUUGCAAUGGUGUGAGUUUUAUUUGGAAAACAACUUGAAGUUGGAUCAAAUACCUUUGUUUCUUUUGAAAUGCUUUAUUUUUCUCAUUUGUUUUUAUCUUUUUAUUUCCCGACCCAAUACAAAUUAAUUAAACAAAUACAAAUCAUGUACCGUGCCUAAAACAUAUAAGUGGUG